rnacentral:tRNA from 1 species
GUUAUCAUGGCAGAGAGGUUAAUGCGGAAGUCCUAAACUCUUCUCCCCGCGGGUUCAACUCCCGCUAAUAACU